rnacentral:rRNA from 1 species
AUUGAACGCUGGCGGAAUGCUUUACACAUGCAAGUCGAACGGCAGCACGGGGGCAACCCUGGUGACGAGUGGCGAACGGGUGAGUAAUACAUCGGAACGUGCCCAGUCGUGGGGGAUAACGUAGCGAAAGCUACGCUAAUACCGCAUACGAUCUCUGGAUGAAAGCGGGGGACCGCAAGGCCUCGCGCGAUUGGAGCGGCCGAUGGCAGAGUAGGUAGUUGGUGGGGUAAAGGCUCACCAAGCCGACGAUCUGUAGCUGGUCUGAGAGGACGACCAGCCACACUGGGACUGAGACACGGCCCAGACUCCUACGGGAGGCAGCAGUGGGGAAUUUUGGACAAUGGGCGCAAGCCUGAUCCAGCCAUUCCGCGUGCAGGAUGAAGGCCCUCGGGUUGUAAACUGCUUUUGUACGGAACGAAACGGUGCUCUCUAAUACAGGGCGCUAAUGACGGUACCGUAAGAAUAAGCACCGGCUAACUACGUGCCAGCCGCCGCCGUAAGAC